ensembl:snRNA U6 U6 spliceosomal RNA
GUACUUGCUUUGGCAGCACAUAUACUAAAACUGGAACGACAGAAAGAAGAUUAGCAUGGCCCCUGGACAAGGAUGACAUGCCUAUUUGUGAAGCAUUCCCUAUUUUU